GUAGGCUGAAACUCGCCUACAUGAAGCUGGAGUUACUAGUAAUCGCAGAUCAGAAUGCUGCGGUGAAUGCGUUCCCGGGUCUUGUACACACCGCCCGUCACACCACGGAAGUUGGGGGCGCCCGAAGCCACUUAGCUAACCCUUUUGGGAAGCGAGUGUCGAAGGUGAAAUCAAUAACUGGGGUGAAGUCGUAACAAGGUAAC
rnacentral:rRNA from 1 species